rnacentral:misc_RNA from 1 species
UUUCCGUAGGUGAACCUGCGGAAGGAUCAUUAAUGAUUGACCCUCUGGGUCUUAUCUUAACAUCCCUCACCUCUGUGCACCGUUUGACCUCCGGGUCUUACAACCUAUAACAAACAUCAGUGUAAAGAACGACUUGUUAUCUUAACAAAAACAAAACUUUCAACAACGGAUCUCGUGGCUCACGCAUCGAUGCAGAACGCAGG